rnacentral:rRNA from 1 species
ACGAACGCUGGCGGCGUGCUUAAUACAUGCAAGUCGAACGAAGCUAUCACUUGGAAGUUUACGGAUGGAAGAGAGAUAGACUGAGUGGCGGACGGGUGAGUAACGCGUGAGCAACCUGCCUACAAGAGGGGGACAACAGCUGGAAACGGCUGCUAAUACCGCAUAAGACCACGAUCCUGCAUGGGGAAGAGGUCAAAGGAGAAAUCCGCUUGUAGAUGGGCUCGCGUCCCAUUAGCUAGUUGGUAGGGUAAAGGCUUACCAAGGCGACGAUGGGUAGCCGACCUGAGAGGGUGAUCGGCCACACUGGAACUGAGACACGGUCCAGACUCCUACGGGAGGCAGCAGUAGGGAAUAUUGGGCAAUGGGGGCAACCCUGACCCAGCAACGCCGCGUGAGGGAAGAAGGUCUUCGGAUUGUAAACCUCUGUCCUAGGGGACGAAGGAAGUGACGGUACCCAAGGAGGAAGCUCCGGCUAACUACGUGCCAGCAGCCGCGGUAAUACGUAGGGAGCAAGCGUUGUCCGGAAUUACUGGGCGUAAAGGGUGCGUAGGCGGCCUGUUAAGUCAAAUGUGAAAUACCCGUGCUUAACAUGGGGGGUGCAAGUGAAACUGGCAGGCUAGAGUGCAGGAGAGGUAAGUGGAAUUCCUAGUGUAGCGGUGAAAUGCGUAGAUAUUAGGAGGAACACCAGUGGCGAAGGCGGCUUACUGGACUGUAACUGACGCUGAGGCACGAAAGCGUGGGGAGCAAACAGGAUUAGAUACCCUGGUAGUCCACGCUGUAAACGAUGGAUACUAGGUGUAGGGUCCAAAAGGAUUCUGUGCCGCAGCAAACGCAAUAAGUAUCCCGCCUGGGGAGUACGGCCGCAAGGCUGAAACUCAAAGGAAUUGACGGGGGCCCGCACAAGCAGCGGAGCAUGUGGUUUAAUUCGAAGCAACGCGAAGAACCUUACCAAGGCUUGACAUCCUCUGACGAACGUAGAGAUACGUUUUUUCUUCGGAACAGAGAGACAGGUGGUGCAUGGUUGUCGUCAGCUCGUGUCGUGAGAUGUUGGGUUAAGUCCCGCAACGAGCGCAACCCUUAUGUUUAGUUGCCAGCGAGUAAAGUCGGGAACUCUAAAGAGACUGCCGGGGACAACUCGGAGGAAGGUGGGGACGACGUCAAAUCAUCAUGCCCCUUAUGUCUUGGGCUACACACGUGCUACAAUGGCCGGUACAAAGAGCGGCGAAGUCGUAAGGCUAAGCGAAUCUCAAAAAGCCGGUCUCAGUUCGGAUUGUGGGCUGCAACCCGCCCACAUGAAGUUGGAGUUGCUAGUAAUCGCGAAUCAGCAUGUCGCGGUGAAUGCGUUCCCGGGCCUUGUACACACCGCCCGUCACACCACGGAAGUUGGGGGCGCCCGAAGCCGGUGGCCUAACCGCAAGGAGGGAGCCGUCGAAGGUGAAACCAAUGACUGGGGUG